GAUGAACGCUAGCGGCAGGCCUAAUACAUGCAAGUCGAGGGGCAGCACAGGUAGCCAUACUGGGUGGCGACCGGCAAACGGGUGCGGAACACGUACGCAACCUUCCUUCAAGAGAUGGAUAGCCCGAAGAAAUUCGGAUUAAUACAUCGUAAAAUCACAGUGUGGCAUCACAUAAUGAUUAAAGAAUUUCGCUUGAAGAUGGGCGUGCGCCUGAUUAGGUAGUUGGUGAGGUAACGGCUCACCAAGCCGACGAUCAGUAACUGGCGUGAGAGCGCGACCAGUCACACGGGCACUGAGACACGGGCCCGACUCCUACGGGAGGCAGCAGUAAGGAAUAUUGGUCAAUGGACGGAAGUCUGAACCAGCCAUGCCGCGUGAAGGAUGAAGGCCCUCUGGGUCGUAAACUUCUUUUAUCUGGGACGAAAUCAUCUUUUUCUAGGGAUGUUGACGGUACCAGAGGAAUAAGCACCGGCUAACUCCGUGCCAGCAGCCGCAGUAAGAC
rnacentral:rRNA from 1 species